rnacentral:lncRNA from 1 species
CUUUCAUCACAAACUGGAAAUGAAUGCUGGUGUCCAGGCUCCUGGAUCCUGGCAUGAGAAAGAAAGAUCAAAUCUACAGAGACACAGUGAAAGUGAGUAAUUCCAGAGGCCUCCAGGAAGAAACAGAAGAGUGGAACAGAGCACUGUGUCCUGUGAGGUACCACAGCUGGUGACUGACUCCGGUCCAAGCAACUGCAGUGUCCCCUGGAGACAGUGCUUGGUUGGAUGCCAUUUUAGGGAGGGGCCAACUGAACCCAGAACUUGUGGCAGCUGUGAUUGGCUUCAUCUCAGGGCUCCCAGUGUUAAAAACCCACAGUGACUGUGUGAGGGACCACCAUGGGAGACAUCCAGUGUGUUAUAAGUGGUCAAGCCAGCAAGAGACAUCCAGAAUGUUAUAAUCUAAACAACUCAGACCCUAACCCCAUGACCAGAGGCCAGGAUCAGCCUGAACUUCUGUGGAUUUCAAAGCGCCAGAACCAGCACCUUGUGUUAAUCCUACUGCAGGCUUGCUGGGGUUAUCCUAUAUGGCUCUGGGCUCUGACUGCCUCCUUUGUCUGCAAGCAAGAACAGAGUGAUGCCCUGAAUUGGACACUGCCACAAAACUGUAGAUCCCAGAAGACAACCAUAGGUUUGAAAUCACAGAGAAAUUUCUUUUUUUUUUUCCUCCUUCACUUUGGUUUUUGUUCUUUUCUUCAUUUGGGUGUUGUUGUUUUCAUGAGUGUGAACGUUGCUUUUAGCUUUUUGUUUUGUUUUGUUGUUGUUUCUUCUUUCUUUCCUUCUUGUUUUCUUCACCAGUUUCCCAAGGCUUGGGUAAUUUUCCUUUGUCCUUCAGCCUUGCUUCUAAUCUCUUUCUCUUCUUCAAUUUCUCUAUUUUUUCCUCUUAUUCCUUUGAAAUUUUCUUCCCUGAGAGUAAAAUUGCUCUAUUGAGGGGAUAUUUACUCUAUAUAAUUUUAUGAUUUGUCUUAGAUUUUGUUAUAUAACUGUAUAUCUU